UUUAUUGGAGAGUUUGAUCCUGGCUCAGGAUGAACGCUGGCGGCGUGCCUAAUACAUGCAAGUCGAGCGAAUGGAUUGAGAGCUUGCUCUCAAGAAGUUAGCGGCGGACGGGUGAGUAACACGUGGGUAACCUGCCCAUAAGACUGGGAUAACUCCGGGAAACCGGGGCUAAUACCGGAUAACAUUUUGAACUGCAUGGUUCGAAAUUGAAAGGCGGCUUCGGCUGUCACUUAUGGAUGGACCCGCGUCGCAUUAGCUAGUUGGUGAGGUAACGGCUCACCAAGGCAACGAUGCGUAGCCGACCUGAGAGGGUGAUCGGCCACACUGGGACUGAGACACGGCCCAGACUCCUACGGGAGGCAGCAGUAGGGAAUCUUCCGCAAUGGACGAAAGUCUGACGGAGCAACGCCGCGUGAGUGAUGA
rnacentral:rRNA from 1 species